rnacentral:rRNA from 1 species
CCUACGGGAGGCAGCAGUGGGGAAUAUUGGGCAAUGGGCGCAAGCCUGACCCAGCAACGCCGCGUGAAGGAAGAAGGCUCUCGGGUUGUAAACUUCUUUUAACAGGGACGAAGCAAGUGACGGUACCUGAUGAAUAAGCCACGGCUAACUACGUGCCAGCAGCCGCGGUAAUACGUAGGUGGCAAGCGUUAUCCGGAUUUACUGGGUGUAAAGGGCGUGUAGGCGGGAGAGCAAGUCAGACGUGAAAACCAUGGGCUCAACCUGUGGCCUGCGUUUGAAACUGUUCUUCUUGAGUGCUGGAGAGGCAGACGGAAUUCCGUGUGUAGCGGUGAAAUGCGUAGAUAUACGGAGGAACACCAGUGGCGAAGGCGGUCUGCUGGACAGUAACUGACGCUGAGGCGCGAAAGCGUGGGGAGCAAACAGGAUUAGAUACCCCUGUAGUC